rnacentral:tmRNA from 1 species
GGGGGUGUAAAGGUUUCGACGGGGAUUGUAAACCUUGGUAAGCGAGCGGCGGUGCGGAACCGCCUUAAAAUCCGCAACUUAAAAAUAACUGACAAAAAUACAGUUGAAUUAGCAGCUGCCUAAGGCACUGCUCGUCCUGUCUGAGAGCACCACGGCUUAGAUAAGGGCGUCGAUUAGUGGUAACUGUGAACAGAGGAGUGCCUCGACCUUUGUCACACAUCAGAGGCUGCCGAACUGCAAAGCCUGUCGGUGGGCGUUGCAGUAAGGGAGAUUAAAAACAUUGACUGCGCUCGGAGAAAACCUUGGCAAGCGAUUUUCGGACAGGGGUUCGACUCCCCUCACCUCCACCA